AUUGAACGCUGGCGGCAGGCCUAACACAUGCAAGUCGAGCGGAUGAGGAAAGCUUGCCUUUCGAUUCAGCGGCGGACGGGUGAGUAAUGCCUAGGAAUCUGCCUGUUAGUGGGGGAUAACUCGGGGAAACUCGGGCUAAUACCGCAUACGUCCUACGGGAGAAAGUGGGGGAUCUUCGGACCUCACGCUAACAGAUGAGCCUAGGUCGGAUUAGCUAGUAGGUGAGGUAAUGGCUCACCUAGGCGACGAUCCGUAACUGGUCUGAGAGGAUGAUCAGUCACACUGGAACUGAGACACGGUCCAGACUCCUACGGGAGGCAGCAGUGGGGAAUAUUGGACAAUGGGCGAAAGCCUGAUCCAGCCAUGCCGCGUGUGUGAAGAAGGUCUUCGGAUUGUAAAGCACUUUAAGUUGGGAGGAAGGGUAUUCACCUAAUACGUGGGUACUUUGACGUUACCAACAGAAUAAGCACCGGCUAACUCUGUGCCAGCAGCCGCCGCGGUAA
rnacentral:rRNA from 1 species